rnacentral:rRNA from 1 species
GCACAGGUUGUGAACUCGAAGAGUAGGGCGGGACACGUGGUAUCCUGUCUGAAUAUGGGGGGACCAUCCUCCAAGGCUAAAUACUCCUGACUGACCGAUAGUGAACCAGUACCGUGAGGGAAAGGCGAAAAGAACCCCGGCGAGGGGAGUGAAAAAGAACCUGAAACCGUGUACGUACAAGCAGUGGGAGCACCUUCGGGUGUGACUGCGUACCUUUUGUAUAAUGGGUCAGCGACUUAUAUUCUGUAGCAAGGUUAACCGUAUAGGGGAGCCGCAGGGAAACCGAGUCUUAACUGGGCGUUAAGUUGCAGGGUAUAGACCCGAAACCCGGUGAUCUAGCCAUGGGCAGGUUGAAGGUUGGGUAACACUAACUGGAGGACCGAACCGACUAAUGUUGAAAAAUUAGCGGAUGACUUGUGGCUGGGGGUGAAAGGCCAAUCAAACCGGGAGAUAGCUGGUUCUCCCCGAAAGCU